rnacentral:rRNA from 1 species
GACGAACGCUGGCGGCGUGCUUAACACAUGCAAGUCGAACGAAGAGCGACGGAAGCUUGCUUCUAUCAAUCUUAGUGGCGAACGGGUGAGUAACGCGUAAUCAACCUGCCCUUCAGAGGGGGACAACAGUUGGAAACGACUGCUAAUACCGCAUACGAUCUAACCUCGGCAUCGAGGAUAGAUGAAAGGUGGCCCCUACAUGUAAGCUAUCACUGAAGGAGGGGAUUGCGUCUGAUUAGCUAGUUGGAGGGGUAACGGCCCACCAAGGCGAUGAUCAGUAGCCGGUCUGAGAGGAUGAACGGCCACAGUGGGACUGAGACACGGCCCAGACUCCUACGGGAGGCAGCAGUGGGGAAUCUUCCGCAAUGGACGAAAGUCUGACGGAGCAACGCCGCGUGAGUGAUGACGGCCUUCGGGUUGUAAAGCUCUGUUAAUCGGGACGAAAGGCCUUCUUGCGAAUAGUGAGAAGGAUUGACGGUACCGGAAUAGAAAGCCACGGCUAACUACGUG